UUUCCGUAGGUGAACCUGCGGAAGGAUCAUUAUUGUAUAACCGAGGUGCGAGGGCUGUCGCUGACCCGAAAGGUCGUGCACGCCCGAGUGCCCUCACACACAUCCAUCUCAACCCGAUGUGCACCACCGCGUGGGUCCCCCUUUGGCUUGUUCGGAGGGGGGCUUACGUUUUCACACAAACUUUGUAUGCAGUGUAGAAUGUAUUUUUUGUUUUUGCGAUCACGCAAUCAAUACAACUUUCAACAACGGAUCUCUUGGCUCUC
rnacentral:misc_RNA from 1 species